rnacentral:rRNA from 1 species
GGUCAAGCGAACAAGUGCAUGUGGUGGAUGCCUUGGCGAUCACAGGCGAUGAAGGACGCGGUAGCCUGCGAAAAGCCCCGGGGAGCUGGCAAACAAGCUUUGAUCCGGGGAUGUCCGAAUGGGGAAACCCACUCCUUAUGGAGUAUCCAUGACUGAAUACAUAGGUCAUGUGAAGCGAACGCGGUGAACUGAAACAUCUAAGUAACCGCAGGAAAAGAAAUCAACCGAGAUUCCCAAAGUAGUGGCGAGCGAAAUGGGAUGAGCCUUGUACUCUUUAUUUGUAUUGUUAGCCGAACGCUCUGGAAAGUGCGGCCAUAGCAGGUGAUAGCCCUGUAGGCGAAAACAGUAUGAAAGAACUAGGUGUACGACAAGUAGGGCGGGACACGUGAAAUCCUGUCUGAAGAUGGGGGGACCAUCCUCCAAGGCUAAAUACUCGUGAUCGACCGAUAGUGAACCAGUACCGUGAGGGAAAGGCGAAAAGAACCCCGGGAGGGGAGUGAAAUAGAUCCUGAAACCGCAUGCAUACAAACAGUCGGAGCCUCGUAAGGGGUGACGGCGUACCUUUUGUAUAAUGGGUCAGCGACUUACGUUCAGUAGCAAGCUUAACCGUAUAGGGCAGGCGUAGCGAAAGCGAGUCCGAAUAGGGCGUUCAGUUGCUGGGCGUAGACCCGAAACCAGGUGAUCUAUCCAUGGCCAGGAUGAAGGUGCGGUAACACGUACUGGAGGUCCGAACCCACUAACGUUGAAAAGUUAGGGGAUGAGCUGUGGAUAGGGGUGAAAGGCUAAACAAACCUGGAAAUAGCUGGUUCUCUCCGAAAACUAUUUAGGUAGUGCCUCGUGUCUCACCUUCGGGGGUAGAGCACUGUCAUGGUUGGGGGGUCUAUUGCAGAUUACCCCGCCAUAGCAAACUCCGAAUACCGAAGAGUGCAAUCACGGGAGACAGACAUCGGGUGCUAACGUCCGGUGUCAAGAGGGAAACAACCCAGACCGCCAGCUAAGGUCCCCAAAUAUGGCUAAGUGGGAAACGAAGUGGGAAGGCUAAAACAGUCAGGAGGUUGGCUUAGAAGCAGCCACCCUUUAAAGAAAGCGUAAUAGCUCACUGAUCGAGUCGUCCUGCGCGGAAGAUGUAACGGGGCUAAGCCAUAUACCGAAGCUGCGGAUGCGUGCUUGCACGCAUGGUAGGAGAGCGUUCCGUAAGCCUGCGAAGGUGCCUUGUAAAGGGUGCUGGAGGUAUCGGAAGUGCGAAUGCUGACAUGAGUAGCGAUAAAGGGGGUGAAAGGCCCCCUCGCCGUAAGCCCAAGGUUUCCUACGCAACGUUCAUCGGCGUAGGGUGAGUCGGCCCCUAAGGCGAGGCAGAAAUGCGUAGCUGAUGGGAAGCAGGUCAAUAUUCCUGCACC